AGAGUUUGAUCCUGGCUCAGGACGAACGCUGGCGGCACGCCUAACACAUGCAAGUCGAACGGAGAUGAUUUGAGUUUACUUAGAUCAUCUUGGUGGCGGACGGGUGAGUAACACGUGAGCAACCUGCCUUUGAGAGAGGGAUAGCUUCUGGAAACGGAUGGUAAUACCUCAUAACAUGCAGAUACCGCAUGGUGACUGUAUCAAAGAUUUAUCACUCAAAGAUGGGCUCGCGUCUGAUUAGAUAGUUGGUGAGGUAACGGCUCACCAAGUCGACGAUCAGUAGCCGGACUGAGAGGUUGAACGGCCACAUUGGGACUGAGACACGGCCCAGACUCCUACGGGAGGCAGCAGUGGGGAAUAUUGCACAAUGGGGGAAACCCUGAUGCAGCGAUGCCGCGUGGAGGAAGAAGGUUUUCGGAUUGUAAACUCCUGUCUUAAAGGAAGAUAAUGACGGUACUCAACAAGGAAGUGACGGCUAACUACGUGCCAGCAGCCGCGGUAAAACGUAGGUCACAAGCGUUGUCCGGAAUUACUGGGUGUAAAGGGAGCGCAGGCGGGCGAUCAAGUUGGAAGUGAAAUCCAUGGGCUCAACCCAUGAACUGCUUUCAAAACUGAUUGUCUUGAGUAGUGCAGAGGUAGGCGGAAUUCCCGGUGUAGCGGUGGAAUGCGUAGAUAUCGGGAGGAACACCAGUGGCGAAGGCGGCCUACUGGGCACCAACUGACGCUGAGGCUCGAAAGUGUGGGUAGCAAACAGGAUUAGAUACCCUGGUAGUCCACACCGUAAACGAUGAUUACUAGGUGUUGGAGGAUUGACCCCUUCAGUGCCGCAGUUAACACAAUAAGUAAUCCACCUGGGGAGUACGACCGCAAGGUUGAAACUCAAAGGAAUUGACGGGGGCCCGCACAAGCAGUGGAGUAUGUGGUUUAAUUCGACGCAACGCGAAGAACCUUACCAAGUCUUGACAUCCUGCGACGAUGCUAGAAAUAGUAUUUUCCUUCGGGACGCAGAGACAGGUGGUGCAUGGUUGUCGUCAGCUCGUGCCGUGAGAUGUUGGGUUAAGUCCCGCAACGAGCGCAACCCUUAUGGUCAGUUACUACGCAAGAGGACUCUGGCCAGACUGCCGUUGACAAAACGGAGGAAGGUGGGGAUGACGUCAAAUCAUCAUGCCCUUUAUGACUUGGGCUACACACGUACUACAAUGGCGUUAAACAAAGAGAAGCAAGACCGCGAGGUGGAGCAAAACUCAGAAACAACGUCCCAGUUCGGACUGCAGGCUGCAACUCGCCUGCACGAAGUCGGAAUUGCUAGUAAUCGUGGAUCAGCAUGCCACGGUGAAUACGUUCCCGGGCCUUGUACACACCGCCCGUCACACCAUGAGAGCCGGGGGGACCCGAAGUCGGUAGUCUAACCGCAAGGAGGACGCCGCCGAAGGUAAAACUGGUGAUUGGGGUGAAGUCGUAACAAGGUA
rnacentral:rRNA from 1 species